rnacentral:rRNA from 1 species
AACGAACGCUGGCGGCAUGCCUAACACAUGCAAGUCGAACGAGACCUUCGGGUCUAGUGGCGCACGGGUGCGUAACGCGUGGGAAUCUGCCCUUGGGUUCGGAAUAACAGUUAGAAAUGAAUGCUAAUACCGGAUAAUGACGUAAGUCCACAGAUUUAUCGCCCAAGGAUGAGCCCGCGUAGGAUUAGCUAGUUGGUAGGGUAAAGGCCUACCAAGGCGACGUUCCUUAGCUGGUCUGAGAGGAUGAUCAGCCACACUGGGACUGAGACACGGCCCAGACUCCUACGGGAGGCAGCAGUGGGGAAUAUUGGACAAUGGGCGAAAGCCUGAUCCAGCAAUGCCGCGUGAGUGAUGAAGGCCCUAGGGUUGUAAAGCUCUUUUACCCGGGAUGAUAAUGACAGUACCGGGAGAAUAAGCCCCGGCUAACUCCGUGCCAGCCGCCGCCGUAACAC